AUACCUUUGGUUCAUGAGCGUGAUGAUAGGGUGUUCAUGCCCUCUGCAUGAAGUGUGCCUCCCACAAACCUUGUUACAAUGUCGGCACAUUACCCAUCUGACA